rnacentral:pre_miRNA from 1 species
UAUAUACUUUCUCUGUUCGUAAUUACUUGUUAUAGAAAUGGAUGUAUCUAGAUGUAUUUUAGUUCUAGAUACAUCCAUUUCCGAGACAAGUAAUUCCAAACGGAGGGAGUGGUUU